rnacentral:rRNA from 1 species
GAUGAACGCUGGCGGCGUACCUAAUACAUGCAAGUCGAGCGAACGGACGAGAAGCUUGCUUCUCUGAUGUUAGCGGCGGACGGGUGAGUAACACGUGGAUAACCUACCUAUAAGACUGGGAUAACUUCGGGAAACCGGAGCUAAUACCGGAUGAUAUUUUGAACCGCAUGGUUCAAAAGUGAAAGACGGUCUUGCUGUCACUUAUAGAUGGAUCCGCGCUGCAUUAGCUAGUUGGUAAGGUAACGGCUUACCAAGGCAACGAUGCAUAGCCGACCUGAGAGGGUGAUCGGCCACACUGGAACUGAGACACGGUCCAGACUCCUACGGGAGGCAGCAGUAGGGAAUCUUCCGCAAUGGGCGAAAGCCUGACGGAGCAACGCCGCGUGAGUGAUGAAGGUCUUCGGAUCGUAAAACUCUGUUAUUAGGGAAGAACAUAUGUGUAAGUAACUGUGCACAUCUUGACGGUACCUAAUCAGAAAGCCACGGCUAACUACGUA